rnacentral:rRNA from 1 species
AGUGAACGCUGGCGGCGUGCUUAACACAUGCAAGUCGAACGAGUAAGUGCUGUAGCAAUACAGAUUACUGCUAGUGGCAGACGGGUGAGUAAUACAUGGGAAUCUACCCUAAAGUCUGGAAUAACUGUUGGAAACGACAGCUAACACCGGAUAUUGCCGAGAGGUGAAAGAUUUAUUGCUUUAGGAUGAGCCCAUGCAAGAUUAGCUAGUUGGUAGGGUAAUGGCCUACCAAGGCGAAGAUCUUUAGCUGGUUUGAGAGGAUGACCAGCCACACUGGAACUGAGACACGGUCCAGACUCCUACGGGAGGCAGCAGUGGGGAAUAUUGGACAAUGGGCGAAAGCCUGAUCCAGCGACGCCGCGUGAGUGAUGAAGGCCUUCGGGUUGUAAAGCUCUUUUAGUGGGGAAGAUUAUGACGGUACCUACAGAAAAAGCUCCGGCUAACUUCGUGCCAGCCGCCGCCGUAA